CACGUAGGGGGCGAGCGUUGUCCGGAUUUAUUGGGCGUAAAGAGCUCGUAGGCGGCUCAGUAAGUCGGGUGUGAAAACUCCAGGCUCAACCUGGAGACGCCACCUGAUACUGCUGUGGCUAGAGUCCGGUAGGGGAGCAUGGAAUUCCUGGUGUAGCGGUGAAAUGCGCAGAUAUCAGGAGGAACACCAGUGGCGAAGGCGGUGCUCUGGGCCGGAACUGACGCUGAGGAGCGAAAGCGUGGGGAGCAAACGGG
rnacentral:rRNA from 1 species